GGAAUUGAAUUAUCUAAUAUUACUUUUAGCAAGUCAAGCAAAUGGAGAAAAUCUCUCAUCGGCUUGGUAUAUUCUUAGUAAGUGGUUGUAGUGGCAGAGCUGUCUGAGGUUUACUAUCACUUAAAUUGCUUCUAACAAUAUCCACCUUCUUUAGACUACAUCUUACAGGUUUUAUAUUUCCAACCUAAACUCUACUGAAUCCACAAUGACUGAACUGUAUUCUGUUCAAUUAAACUACUCCCUGUUGAACCCAACUAAACUACUGUACAUGGGAUAAAUUUUAUGUUUGUCAUUUAUUUUGUUAAUCAGAUUCAAUCAUAUUUCCUUAAUCAGAUGUCCAGUUGGAAAUCUGCAUCUUGCAAGACUCUGGUGGUAUUGGCAGCAGUGGAGGAAGUGGUCUUGGAGGAAGAUGAUAUAAGAAUUUGUGAAUUUGGUUGUUCUUCUGUGGGUGGGAUAGGGUUUGACAGCAGGGUUUAGUUUGAGGAUGUGGUUGCUGUUUUUACCAGGCUGAACAACCAUAUAGAGGUUCUACCAUUAUCUGAUGUGUGUGUAUUUGUGGUUUAGAGUUUAGACAAGUGAUUGCUGCUCAAAUAUUUUAAGCAGCCAAAUCACAACUCACUACUCAGCAGAUGAACCCUAUGUCAAGAAUUUAGUAUUAUUAUUAUUGACCUAAAAUGAUCGGUUUUAAAUGCUUCUCUAAACUUUACAUUCUUUUACUUACCUUGCUGAAUCUCUAAAGACUGGCUUUGUUUAAUCUUAUAAAAACAAUUGUUUAUAAUUUUGUCUUAUUUGAUGACUAAUAAAUAGGCUUGAUUACAGAUUGAUAUUGUACGUACUGUCUCAAGAUAAUAAAUAUCUUGACUCAAUGCACACUUUGAAAUCAGCUUUUGAAAGACAAUUUUUUUAUACAGGCUACAUUAGUUGAAAUGAAUGUAGGCUGUGUUAUUUGUAGAUGCUUGAGGAAGUUCAUUUAGCUAACAGCAAAUGAAUUUUUUCAUGUGUACAAAAAUAAGCUUUUGUCAGUUCUGUUAUGCCAGUUAUAGUAAUGAAAUAGUGGUAUGUUAAAUGAAAUGAAGAAACUUCAAGAAUUUAUAGCACAGUUUUGUAGUUGAAGGAUAACAUAGACUUCUGGUAUGGAUAGAGAAUGGUCUGGCAUUUUUUAAGUGACACUCAACAACAAAAGCAUGGAUUAUUUCUCUUAAGAUCUUCAGUUGGGAGGUUUGAUACAAUAAAUUCUCAAAACAAUUUGUUGAGAUCCAGAUAUAGAAUACUGUUCACUGAAAUUAAGUUUUCAUGAAACAUAGGGAAAGAAAUUUGUCUUGAUGUUUUUAGCUGGAGGGUAGUUAUGCAGUUAUGGGUUUGGUGUCACUGCAUGGACACUGUCAAUGGUGUUCUCCAUUUUAGCCAUGGGUUGACUAUUGCCUUGUGAGUGAAAUUGAUCGACUGAUUGGCAGAUAUUGGAAGAAGCCAGUUGUGUGUAUAUCAUACACACACACACACACACACACACAUUGAUGACUGAAUACCUAUUGUCCUUCACCUAGAUACGUGUGCUCUGGUAGCAACCAAAAGCUUCACCAUUCAUACAAACAGUAUUGUUUGUUUACAGUCUUCUAUGAAAGUAUGUCUGGGCUGUUUAUUGUCAAUAGAUUGGGAAAUUGUUACCUUGCCUUGCAUUAGGGCAGGCAUAUAGCUGUAAAAAUUUCUGCUUCAGCUAUGUCUUGCCUGACCCAUGCAUGCAUGGAAAAGUAAAUGUUCGAACAAUUAUGAUGUCCAAAGGAUGUGCAAAACUUUUGUUUCUAAAAUUCUUAUUUUAUGUUAUUAAUGGUGAUUUCACUAGCGCCAGUACCACAGGAAAAGCACUCAGUAGAUACUGUAAAGUGGUUGACAUUAGGAAGGAUAUUCAGCUGUAAAAACCAUGCCAAAGCAGAUACUGGAGCUCAGUUUAGCCCUCUUGUUCAUUGGAUCCUGUCAAACCGUUUAACUUAUUAACAUGAAAGGUGCACAUUAAAGAAUGAUGAUGAAUAGAGUAGUACUCUUUUUCAUAAUUUUAAUCGCACAAUUUGUGUGUUCUAUAUAACAUUAACUGAUAUCCUACUCUUUGUAUGCUCUCAUCUAAUAUCUAUUUUUAAAUUCACCAAAAAGAAAGUCUCAUCACUUUUCUCUGAUGUAAUAUUUUUCAGUGUUAGAGUUCUAAUGUAUGUUACUAAAUUUGUGAAACUAAGUCUAAUGCAUGCAACUGUACAUCAUUCAUUUUGUCCCUGAAUUCUUAUGAACAUAAUCACUCAUCUCUAAUGCUACACAUGCAUGGAACUUAAGUAUCAAAAGCUUAGCCUUGUAAUGAUUGAGCAGAAAAUAUCUAAAAAAAAUGGGUUUGAUUUUUCAAAUGUUUAUGGUGUCUUUACUUGUCAGGUUAGUGAGAAAAUUAGCAGUAUUGCAGAAAAGAAUUUUAAUUUUUAUUGUAAAUAGUCAUUUGUGUUACAAAUAAUGUGCAGCAUUGUUAAUUACAUGACUAAAAGCUACUCUAAAAAUGAAGAAAAAAAAAACGAUGAGGAAAAGAAAGAUGUUGGUAAUAAAUAUUAGUAGACAUGGGCAUUCAAAAACCACAAACAAAAUACCUUUUCUUGAUUUUUUUUUUGCAGCUUAUUCAUUAGGAAAUUUCCAUGUAAGCUGUUACUCUGAUUCUCCGGUAUGCAUGUAUUUCAUCAACACAUGUGCAAGCUUCCUUUUUGUUCAGCAUAAUUACUGAAUUAUUGUACCAAUGAAAAUUUCAUACAAAAAAAAAAACAGAUAAAAUAAUACCCAGCUUUAAGUUCUAAAGAUAUUUUUGGACCAACAAUUUUUGCAAAAGUUUCGGUGUUGCUAUUCUUCAGGUAAUAUUUCGUCCAAAUCACUUGAAGGAUCGGACUGAUCAAAGACAGACAUAAAGUGUGCAUAGAAAAUAUAGAUAUAUCUCUCUGGUUAUCAUCUCACAUCACUAGUUCUACUUACCAAAAGUGGCCCACUUGGCACCGUGCAUUUGUCACCAUUAAUUCAUUGAAUAAAUUACCAAAUAAGCUCUAUCACUUAAGAAUGAUUGGUGAUCAUUCUCUGAAGUUUCCAUUUAAAGAAAAAAACAAAGUAAAACGGAAAAAAUUCAGCAAAGGUUGCAAAAUGCAAAUAAAUGAUAGUGAAAGGCGUUAAAAUUUUCUCUUUCCUUUGAAACAAAUGUAAACAAGAAUGAUUCGACUCGUGCAGUUUCAGGCACUGUAAGAUUGACAGACAGAUUCAAGCAGGAUGUUAAGAGUUAAUUAAUAUGAGUUUGUUUUGCUGGUAAUGAUAAUCAUUUACAUAUAUAUAUAUAUAUAUAUAUAUGUAAAUAACUUGUCCCUAAUUUUUCAUAUCUUGUAUUGGGAAAAGUAAGAAAUCUUUACAAAUUCCCACAAAGUCACAAAUGUCAACUUUCAGAUCAAAUUCUUUAAAUAUUAUGUUAUAAUCUUAACCUGAUAUGCUGGCUCCCUUAAAGAUUGCAUAAAACUUGAUACUGGUUUCCAUGUCCAGCAGGUCUUAAUAGACAAAAUAUGUGCUAAUCAGCUAAACAUUUCCAUCUAGCAAUUGAUCCAGUUGCCUUAUCAUUCAAACCUUUGUUUUCUAUAUUUUCGUUUUGUCUCUUUGUAAUGUGUUUCAAUUCAUACUACUCUUGUUAUUGUAUCGUUCUAAAUUCAAAUUGUUCUUUACUAUUAAUCUUCGUUCUUUACUAACAAACAUUUAAUUGGCAAAACAUUGUCUUCAAGAAACUUUAAUUCAAGAUUUUUCGACAACAGUCUUAAGUGGAUUUGACAGUCUACCACUUUCCUCGGAAGUUUGUCAAAUUAUCACCUUAUUAAAUGACCUUAUAUUACA
rnacentral:lncRNA from 1 species